rnacentral:lncRNA from 1 species
UUUUUCCUUCCAAACAUCACAAAAUGACUAAAAAUACUAGGAUAUUAUGAAAUCUAGCAAAAUUCAUCACCAAAACUUCUCUCUCUAGAUUUGGCCAGUAAAGGUUCCCUCUUGAAAACUUGAAUUUCAGUCAUGGAGAAUGAAAAAGAAUGCAUGGGAAAGGUAAAUCACAAGCUAAAAUUAAAAAAUCUUACCUUUACUUGCUUGAUUCCUUGAAAUCCAACAAUUUCUCUUGAAUUUUUCCUUCCUAGGGUUUGUUCUUCUCUUUUUCUCUUUGUUCCCUUGCUUGGCCGGCGAUAAG